UUGAAUUCGGUUGAGAGGUCGUAACCUGACCUCGGGAGGCGUGCAGAAAGAAAAGACUACUUUCUCAGCUCGGUUCUUAAUUGAAAGCGGAGUUGUCAGGCGCAGCGCCGUGGGUGUGACCGCCGCCGCCCAGUUUCUCCCGCAGAAGCAACACAGAGCUGGUCCACUCUCCCGGGUCCCCAUUAGCAGUCACUCUAAUGACCUGCAGAGCUGGAAGCAUUUAUGGAAUAUCACAUGGUUUUCGUUUACACAGGAAAUCAGCUGCAGUGGAGCCUGAACAGUCCCUGUGGUCCCAAUGAAGGCUGCCGUUCAAGAGCCAGAGUGCCCAGAAGGAUUCAGGCUGCAGAGGAGCCCCCACCAUAGGUUGAAAUGGCCCCGCCCUCCUUUCCUAUUGUCCCUGAAUGAGCUGAAAGCACAGGGGACAAGAGGCUCUCCUUUCCUGUCAUCUACUAUUCCACAAUAACAGACCAGUUCCUUUGAUUUAAGGCUGAGCCCCAAUUAAAUGGAACAUGCCCUUGAAGAGAUAGAAUUUAGGAACCUAUUUUAGGGUGAGGCAGUUUAUUACCUUUUCCCAAGGGUAAAAGCAAAGAGGCAGGGUGCCCACCCUGAGGGGCAGGAGCUGGCACUGUGGCCAUCCUUCAAGGGCUGAAAGGCAGCCGUGUGCUGGGACUAGGAGGUUGUGAGGUGGUAGCUCUGGGAGGCAGGAUGGGACAGAGUCCUUUGCACAUUUCCGGGGUGGGCAGGGAGCCCUCAAAGAACAUCGAGUCCCCAUUGGGCCCCCAGAGCCCAGGUGUCCCUAGCAGCUGAGACCCAUUUAAUUGAGACCCUCUGACAGCCUCACCACGGCCAUCGUCUUCCGCUCCUCUCGCCCAGCCCAUAAAACCCACAGCCAUCUGUGUGAACAUGAGCCCCACGUUUUUUAUGGGCUGUCUACUGGCGGCUGCAGGACAAGUGGGGGGACAAAGGCUGACUGCUGCAGCCCCUUCAGUCUCCCAAUAUUAAACUGUGUAACGUGACUCGUUCUCUGAAACCAAAUAUUUGCGAGGACACCCAGAAGCCACCUGGCUACCAAAUCUCUUGAUCAGGCGGGUCAUUUGUGCUGUAAAAAUCCCACAUGGGGGUUUUCUCAGCUUCCGAGGGGUCAGCAGGCAAAGCUGCCUUCCAUUAUACAGGGAAGCCUGCCCUCUCGUUGACACAGGCAGGCCCGGGUUGGGGUGUGCAGAUUCAACCUCACUUGGGCUUGGGAGCUGAAUGAAAGAAACCCUGAUCCUCUGCACAGCAGGCUGCCCUGGUCUCUGUCUGAGGCUCUGUUUUCCUCCCAGGAAGCUGCCUGUUCCUCAUGUUGCUUAUUACCUAAUUGAGGAACUAUUCGAGUCAGCGUGGUGCUGCUGUGAGGUUCUUCAGCUCCCCGUGAGCUCUGUGCUGAGGAGCUGGUGGAGAGCAGUAUGUUCUAUGCUGAACGUUUUCUCUCUCUCAACUAGCUCUCCUCUUUUUUCUCCCGUCUCUCUGGGAAUAUGGAGUUCAUUGGUCUCUGAAGGGGCAGGGGAUGGUCACAAACAUAAUUACUAUAAAUUCCAACCCCUGCCUGGCCAUGUUGGUUUUAGGGUCCCCAGUGAAUCACUAGGGUACACGCUCUCUCUGCUCAGGACACUGCCUGGUCCUCUUGGCUUAACCAUCUGGAAAAUGGGGGAUUUGCUGAGAGAAGAGGAAGUUUUGAGAGGGGAAAUCAGAUGCUCUAGGGCCUCUUUCUCUCCCAACCCUGCAGGCUUCUGAGAAGCCCCAUGUUCAUGUCCAAGCCUCAUUCAGACUGCCCUGUGUCUCCUAGAGAAAGCCGUCCCUAAAAAAGUGAGCAGCCCGCAGGCACGCCUGCACCUACAGCUUUGCCGUCCCAGACGUAAUUUUAAAUAGACCAACAUUUCAAUGUGUAUUUAUU